rnacentral:rRNA from 1 species
UACGUAGGUGGCAAGCGUUAUCCGGAAUUAUUGGGCGUAAAGCGCACGCAGGUGGCUUCUUAAGUCUGACGUGAAAGCUCCUGGCUUAACCGGGAGAGGUCGUUGGCAACUGGGAGGCUUGAGGCAAGGAGAGGGGCGUAGAAUUCCCGGUGUAGUGGUGGAAUGCGUAGAUAUCGGGGGGAAUACCAGAGGCGCAAGCGGCGCCCUGGCCUGGGCCUGACGCUCAGGUGCGAAAGCGUGGGGAGCGAACGGG